GUGGGGAAUAUUGGACAAUGGGCGAAAGCCUGAUCCAGCCAUGCCGCGUGUGUGAAGAAGGUCUUCGGAUUGUAAAGCACUUUAAGUUGGGAGGAAGGGCAGUAAGUUAAUACCUUGCUGUUUUGACGUUACCAACAGAAUAAGCACCGGCUAACUUCGUGCCAGCAGCCGCGGUAAUACGAAGGGUGCAAGCGUUAAUCGGAAUUACUGGGCGUAAAGCGCGCGUAGGUGGUUCAGCAAGUUGGAGGUGAAAUCCCCGGGAUCAACCUGGGAACUGCCUCCAAAACUACUGAGCUAGAGUACGGUAGAGGGUAGUGGAAUUUCCUGUGUAGCGGUGAAAUGCGUAGAUAUAGGAAGGAACACCAGUGGCGAAGGCGACUACCUGGACUGAUACUGACACUGAGGUGCGAAAGCGUGGGGAGCAAACAGGAUUAGAUACCCGAGUAGUCC
rnacentral:rRNA from 1 species